GGUCAAUGAUGAUAAGUAAAAGGUCUGAAAGCACUGACGUUCUCAUGUAAUCCACACAGCUCCCAGCUGUCUCUGUACUUUCCCAUCAUGCACAAGUUAUGCUUUGAUUGGUUUAAGAGACUGCUGACAAAACUGGAUACCACACCUCAUGCAUUUCGGCUAGAUUUGAAGAAAUGCAGAUAUAAUAGGUAUCCUACAUUGCUAAUAAUUAUGGAGACUGGGAUAGGGUAGAACACUAUGCAGUGCAUGAUAACAAGUUUAAGCUGAGACC